AUUGAACGCUGGCGGCGUGCUUAACACAUGCAAGUCGAACGCGAAAGGGACUUCGGUCCUGAGUAAAGUGGCGCACGGUGAGUAACGCGUGGAUAAUCUGCCCUUAUGAUUGGAAUAACAGUUGGAAACGGCUGCUAAUACCGGAUACGCUCAAAAUGAACUUUUUGAGGAAAGAUGGCCUCUGCUUGCAUGCUAUCGCAUAAGGAUGAGUCCGCGUCCCAUUAGCUUGUUGGCGGGGUAACGGCCCACCAAGGCAACGAUGGGUAGCCGAUUUGAGAGGAUGAUCGGCCACACUGGAACUGAAACACGGUCCAGACUCCUGCGGGAGCAGCAGUGGGGAAUAUUGCGCAAUGGGCGAAAGCCUGACGCAGCGACGCCGCGUGAGGGAUGAAGGUUUUCGGAUCGGAAACCUCUAGUCAGAAGGAAGAAACUACGUUGUGCUAAUCAGCAGCGUACUGAC
rnacentral:rRNA from 1 species